ACGGAAGGCAGCAGUAGGGAAUAUUGCACAAUGGGGGAAACCCUGAUGCAGCGACGCCGCGUGAGCGAUGAAGUAUUUCGGUAUGUAAAGCUCUAUCAGCAGGGAAGAUAAUGACGGUACCUGACUAAGAAGCCCCGGCUAACUACGUGCCAGCAGCCGCGGUAAUACGUAGGGGGCAAGCGUUAUCCGGAUUUACUGGGUGUAAAGGGAGUGUAGGUGGUUUGGCAAGCCAGAUGUGAAAACCCGGGGCUCAACCCCGCGGACUGCAUUUGGAACUGUUAAACUUGAGUGCAGGAGAGGAAAGUGGAAUUCCUAGUGUAGCGGUGAAGUGCGUAGAUAUUAGGAGGAACACCAGUGGCGAAGGCGGCUUUCUGGACUGUAACUGACACUGAGGCUCGAAAGCGUGGGGAGCAAACAGGAUUAGAUACCCUGGUA
rnacentral:rRNA from 1 species